rnacentral:rRNA from 1 species
UACGGGGGGGGCAAGCGUUGUUCGGAAUUACUGGGCGUAAAGGGCUCGUAGGCGGCCAACUAAGUCAGGCGUGAAAUCCCUCGGCUUAACCGGGGAACUGCGUCUGAUACUGGAUGGCUUGAAUCCGGGAGAGGGAUGCGGAAUUCCAGGUGUAGCGGUGAAAUGCGUAGAUAUCUGGAGGAACACCGGUGGCGAAGGCGGCAUCCUGGACCGGCAUUGACGCUGAGGAGCGAAAGCCAGGGGAGCGAACGGG